UUCACACUUCAUUUCUUGCAAUUUUCCAUCCUUCUUCUUCUGAACUUAGUAUGUAUGGAAUUGGUGUGUGCUUUUAUUUUUGAGUGAAGAGAGUGUAGAAGAUUGAUAAGGUUAAGCUCCGUUAAAGCAAAACUUCAAGGUGAAAUUUUGCUCAACAAUGGAAGAUUAAGCUCUAGGUGAGUUUUUGGUUGCGAGAAGAGAAAUUUGAGAGAAUUUGCAUAAUGAUGAGAGUGGUGGGGAAUUGUGAUUGUUUUUUGUUGAUUGUAGAAGGAAAGUUUAAAUAGAGAGAUUGAAGAAGGAAUUCAUAACUGAAUUGGAUAACUCUUAGGGCAAAGGUAGUUUGGAGUUAGGGCAACUGUGAAAUUAGAUGGAAGUUAGUUGAUUCAUGAGCCAAGUUAGUUAAUAGUUAAAAGACAGUGUUAGUUUGAAUUGACAGUUAGAAAUGUUAGUUGGAUUGCUAUGGUGUGUAGUUAGCUUAAUUAAUGGAACUGUUAGUUAAUUGAAUCAGUUAGUAAGAAACUUUAUGUUGAUUGAAUUUAUUAAAGGAAAUUGUUGUUGAUUUAGGAGCUUGAACUAUGAUAGUUAGGAGUUAAGAUAAUUUGUUAUUUAAGUUUGUUAAUAUUUGGGGAUUUGAACUAUUAGUUAGUUAGGAUUUAGAAGUGAAUUGAAUUAGGAAAUUAGUUAAUUGAUUAGUUAGUAGUUAAUUAGCUAAUCUGUUAAUUAGUUAGCAUUAGAAAUUAAAGGCGUGUUGGACUAGAUGUUAGAAAAAUGAAAAACGUUAGUUAGGAAACAAUUAGUGUGGCAAGUAGAAGUUAAACUAUUUAGUAAAAUCGGUUAGAGUUAGAAGCUAGGAGUUAGUAGUGCUAAUUGGUUUAUGGUUAAUAGUAGUUUGAAAACUAGUUAGGGUAUUGUUUAAUUGAUUGAUUCAUUUAACUGUUAGGAUUGGUUAACUACUAAUUGAUGUUUGUUAGAAUCAUUAUAAUGUUGGUGUUUUCGUUAAUGGAACUAUUAAUGCUAACUGAUUAAAUAUUAGUGGAAUGAUCUUGACAGUUAGUUUAAACUAGUUACAUGUUAGAUUCAAAAUUUUGUUAGGUUAAAAUAAUCAGGAUUUUGUUAGCUAUGGUUUGAACUGACUUAGAAACUAGUUAACUAUUAAGGGAUUUAGAAUACAUGUUCGUAAUGUUGAUGUUAGUUGAUUCUGUUAGAAAUGUUGAUGUUAGUUUGCUAAAAUUGGAUAUGAAGGUGUGAAAUGAGCUACGUAAUGUGUGGGCUGGAUAUAUGUGUCAUUUCUGUUUGGACUUUUUGGAUGCAUUGGCCUUAUAGAUGUUAACUUGAGGAUGUGAACUGAGCAUGGUAAUUUUGGUUUUUUUUAUAAGUGUUGGACAUUGUAUGAACAUGGCUUAUGAUUUACAUGACUAUCGCCAAUGUUCCUAAUCCAGUUACAAUGACCAAUGGUGAAGGCGUCAUUGUACCAAAACCGAAAAAUCAGUGGGAUGAUAAUGAUAAGAAGUUGUGAUCUCAUGAUUGGAAAACAUAUUUUGAAGAACAAGGCCAAGCACUCUGAAGGCAACUUAGCAAAAUUUAGAAGGGAGUCCAAGUCUUCAAAAGAUGGUGAAAAUAUGAAAGGUAAAUUUAGAAGCUCCUGUUAUAAUUAUGGUGAAAUUGGUCAUUAUAGACCGGAAUUUCCCAUGAUUAAGAAAUACAAAGAAAGAGAGCAUCACAAGAAGCCUGGUAAAUCCAGAAGAGCUUAUGUAGCUUGUGAGAGUGCAAGUGAUUCCUCAAGUGAUGAAAGCUCCACUUCAAGUGUAUAAUCGUCUCAAAUUUGUCUUAUGGAUAAUGUAAGGAAGAAGAAACAAGUUGAAUGUAUUGAAUCUACCGAAAAGAUGUGGUAUCUUGAUAGUGGAUGUUCAAGGCAUAUGGAGGGUAACAUAUCGCUUUUCAUUGAUUUUGUGCCAAAGAAAAAGAGAUUCGUCACUAUGGAGAUAAAAAUAAAUGAGUUAUUCUUGGAAAAGGUAGUUGAGGUAAUUCCUCAUCUACUAUUAUCUCCGAUGUAAUGCUUGUUGAUGGUCUUAAACACAACCUUCUUAGCAUUAGAAAACUUUGUGAUAAAGGUUUUAAAGUCACUUUCACUAAUAUGUGUUGUUUAUUUGAGCAUAAUGAGAAGAAGGAUUGUGUGUUUAAGGUCUUGAGAGUCAAUAAUAGUUAUAUGCUAAAUUUAUAUGAUGUGUCCUUGGUUGGUACUAAGUUCCUUGCUACCAUGAGUUAAAGCUCUUGGUUGUGGCAUAUGUGCUUAUCUCAUAUUAACUUUGACUUACUAAACAAGGUAACCUCAAAUGAUCUA